GUGUCGAUGGCAAGGUUGGUUAUCGCUUCUGUCUGCGGCACAGAAUCUCAGUUCGAAUCUGGGUCGAUUCA